UUAUUUCUUUUUUUAUUUGCAGGUGAGGGUGUGAGGUGGCGUUCAAAGGUUGUCAAGGGGUUGUGAGGAGCUAUAGGGCUCAAGUUCGAGGUUGAAGAUUAGAAACCGAAGGUUGAAGAUCAGAUUUGGGAUUAGAUGAGUCGCUGGUACAACUGACGUCGUCGUGGUGUAGGUCAGAUGAGUCGCCGGAGUCCAGGCCAAGUAACAGUGUCGCUGGAGUUUCGGGAAGCUAACGAUGUCAUCAAUUCGAGUGCAGGUGAUGUGCCGAUUAUUGAUUUUGGAUCAAUUACUAACUGUUUGCCAUUUUCUUUCUAGAAAAUCAAUGUAGUGUCUACUUCUUAAUCUUGUUCUCUAUGAGUACCAUUGUUACCGUCUCUGGUAAAAACAUCUAACCAUAUGCCAGAUUCGUUGAUUCAGGCUACAAAAGUACCUGUUAAAGAGUAUGAGUUUGAUGAAAAGAAGAUGGCAAAUGUGCAGUCUCAUCUGGAAAAAUUGGUUGCCAAUAACUAUUACUUGAACAGGUCUCCAAAAGAUGCGUACAGAUAAAUAUAUUAUUCAUGAAGUGAAGGCAAGAAUAGUUGAAUGGUAUAUGAUUAUGAACAGGGGCAAAUGCGUAAAACAAAUUAUGAUUCUUUUUAUUAUGGAUGGUGCACAGGACAAGGGCAGGCUGGUCAAGACUGGAAGCUUUACACAUUCAUAUCCAUUUUGUUGAAGAUCUGAUACCCCUCUUAUCUACAGAGCAGUUCCCAUGAUGAGCAGUUGCUUGAAGCAGCUUGGUGUCUUACAAACAUAGCUGCUGGAAAACCUAAAGAAACAAGAGCUUAAUUGCCUGCAUUACCUUUACUCAUUGCUCAAAUUGGAGAGUUCAGUGCCUGUUGCAGAGCAGUGUGCAUAAGCAUUAGGAAAUGUUGCAGGAGAAGGUGAAGAACCGAGACAAAUUCUGAUUUCUCAAGGGGCAUUACUUCCUCUUGCAAAAAUGAUGUUGCCAAAUAAAGUUUCAGUUAACGGGUGAACCAAGUUUCUCUGAAAUGGCGACAGCAUUGUCAGGGCCUCCUUAUAUCUUUGUUUCUACUCCAGCUUGUGUCCAAAGAUGUCUUUCAUCAGGUGUUCUUCAAGCAAAAUCCGUUCAUGAUUAUCUUUCAAUUAUUAUUCUUGAUAAGGUAUGGAUUCUUUUCUUUCU